UACGUAGGUGGCAAGCGUUGUCCGGAUUUAUUGGGCGUAAAGGGUGCGUAGGCGGCGCCGUAAGUCAGUGCUGAAAUAUCCCGGCUUAACCGGGAGGGUGGCUUUGAUACUGCAGGGCUUGAGUAAAGUUGAGGUAGGCGGAAUUGACGGUGUAGCGGUGAAAUGCUUAGAUAUCGUCAGGAACACCGAUAGUGUAGACAGCUUACUAGACUUUAACUGACGCUGAGGCACGAAAGUGUGGGGAGCAAACAGG
rnacentral:rRNA from 1 species